GACGAACGCUGGCGGCGUGCCUAAUACAUGCAAGUCGAGCGGAUCAUUAGGAGCUUGCUCCUAAUGAUUAGCGGCGGACGGGUGAGUAACACGUGGGCAACCUGCCUUUAAGACUGGGAUAACUUCGGGAAACCGGAGCUAAUACCGGAUAAUUCUUUUCCCCACAUGAGGAAAAGCUGAAAGAUGGCGAAAGCUGUCACUUAUAGAUGGGCCCGCGGCGCAUUAGCUAGUUGGUGAGGUAACGGCUCACCAAGGCAACGAUGCGUAGCCGACCUGAGAGGGUGAUCGGCCACAUUGGGACUGAGACACGGCCCAAACUCCUACGGGAGGCUG
rnacentral:rRNA from 1 species